CUGGAAUGAUUCUUGGCUCAAACCUAUAUGGCCCCUGGAUUGGACUGCGGCCGAUCAGGCUGUUGGUGAGGUAAUGGCCCACCAAACCUAUUACCGGUACGGGCUCUGAGAGGAGGAGCCCGGAGAUGGGCACUGAGACAAGGGCCCAGGCCCUAUGGGGCGCAGCAGGCGCGAAACCUCUGCAAUAGGCGAAAGCUUGACAGGGUUACUCUGAGUGGUUUCCGCUAAGGGAAUCUUUUGGCACCUCUAAAAAUGGUGCAGAAUAAGGGGUGGGCAAGUCUGGUGUCAGCCGCCGCGGUAAUACCAGCACCCCGAGUGGUCGGGACGAUUAUUGGGCCUAAAGCAUCCGUAGCCGGUCCUGCAAGUCUUCCGUUAAAUCCAGCUGCUCAACAGAUGGGCUGCGGGAGAUACUACAGGGCUAGGAGGCGGGAGAGGCAAGCGGUACUUUAUGGGUAGGGGUAAAAUCCGCUGAUCCAUAGAAGACCACCAGUGGCGAAGGCGGCUUGCCAGAACGCGCUCGACGGUGAGGGAUGAAAGCUGGGGGAGCAAACCGGAUUAGAUACCCGGGUAGUCCCAGCUGUAAACGAUGCAGACUCGGUGAUGGGUUGGCCUCGCGCCUGCCCAGUGCCGCAGGGAAGCCGUUAAGUCUGCCGCCUGGGGAGUACGGUCGCAAGACUGAAACUUAAAGGAAUUGGCGGGGGAGCACCACAAGGGGUGAAGCCUGCGGUUCAAUUGGAUUCAACGCCGGG
rnacentral:rRNA from 1 species